UGGAAUUGGUGGGUUCUUGGUCUCACCGACUUCAAGAAUGAAGCCGUGGACCCUCGUGGUCAGCUUUCGGUCCAGUGACUCACUCACAGAAACUCCAAGACAGAUUAAACUAGCAAGAGUUGAAUAUCUGAAUUUCCAAAAUUAUGAGGCUACAAAAAGAAGCAUAGAUUAAAGUUAGGACCAAAUGCUGCUCAGAAAUUCUUUUAAUCUCAAAAGUAGUUGGCAAGUUUUCAGAGUUCAUUUUCAAGGCCUGGUGUAUGUGAAACAACUGAACAUUCAGAGCUAUUUCAUUUUCAAAGAUUCUCACAUCCAACAGAGAGAAGAAGGUCAUACGAAGACACGCAGAAUUUGGACUUAUGCGGUCACAAGUCAAGGAGUGCUUGGAGCUACCGGGAGAUGGAAGAGUCAAGGCAGGAUUUUCCCUGGAAGAUUUGGAAGGAACGUAUUUCUCCUGAAACCUUGAUUCUAGCCUUCACUAAUGACAGAGAAUAAAUUUCUGUUCUUUUAAGCCA
rnacentral:lncRNA from 1 species